CUUUUUUUUUUCUCAAGUUGUAUAAAUUUAAUUUCAUUUAAAAUGAUUUCAAAAAUACAAUCUGCAGACAGACAUAUGAUUGGUAUUCAAUGCACUUAGUGAAUAAUCUGUAAAAACUCAUCCAAGAAAUGUGUUUGUCAAGGCAAGUAAAAAAGAGGAAACAUAUUUGUAGAAUUAAAUUAUCAGAAUAACUAACUAUUCAAAGAUUGAUGUCAAUUCAGUUCAUCACAAAUCAAGUCUCUUGGGUUCAUCACUCUGCUGAGCGUGUUACAUUUGGUGUGGUCCAGAAAAUCUAGUGAAUAGUGGCCGCUCUACAACAAAUGAUCAAAUUAAGAAAAUAAAAAAUUUUCCACAUUAGUUAAGGUUUUACUUUGAGGUAAAAUAUGUAAAGCUAAGGGUUAUUUUCACAAUUUUGAAUUCAAAGUAAGAUAGGAAGAAGGAAGGAAUUUUUUUACGUUACCCCCCCCCCCCC